rnacentral:rRNA from 1 species
GCAUAUCAAUAGCGGAGGAAAAAAAGAAACUAACAUGGAUUCCCCUAGUAACGGCGAGUGAAGCGGGAUGAGCUCAAAUUUAAAAUCUGACUGGUUUACCAGCCCCGAGUUGUAGUUUAAAGAAGCGUUUUCGGUGGCAGUCUCGGUAUAAAUCCUUUGGAAUAGGGUAUCAUAGAGGGUGAGAAAUCCCCGUCUUUGACUGAGAAUAUGCUACUAUGUGAUACGUUUUCAAAGAGUCGAGUUGUUUGGGAAUGCAGCUCAAAAUGGGUGGUAAAUUUCAUCUAAAGCUAAAUAUUGGCGAGAGACCGAUAGCGAACAAGUACCGUGAGGGAAAGAUGAAAAGAACUUUGAAAAGAGAGUUAAACAGUGCGUGAAAUUGUUGAAAGGGAAACGCUUGAAACCAGUCAUGCGGUUGGGAAAUCAGUCUCUGACGGGGGGGAAUGGGGGAGUUGUGGACCGCAAGGCCGCUCUUUUUCAUAUCUCUUUUGGCAGGGAUGCACUUUUUCUUCUGCAGGUCAACAUCAGUUUGCUUUGCCGGACAAAACUCUUGGGAAGGUGACAGCUUUGGCUGUGUUAUAGCCCUUGAGCGAUACGGUGGAGUGGACUGAGGUUUUCGCAGCAUGUGCUCUCGGGCAAGGCUGAUUGGGUGCUAUGAGAUCGUUCAGGGUACAAUACAUGUAUUUUGCCUUGUGUCUUUUUUAUACUCGCUCAACUCGGCUCUUCCCAUGCUUAGGAUGUUGACAUAAUGGUUUUAAUCGACCCGUCUUGAAACACGGACCAAGGAGUCUAACAUAUAUGCAAGUGUUUGGGUGGCAAACCCAUGCGCGUAAUGAAAGUGAACGUAGGUGCGAUCCGCAAGGUGCAGCAUCGACCGAUCUUUGAUAUUUUUUGGAUAGAUUUGAGUUAAGAGCAUUAUAUGCUGGGGACCCGAAAGGAUGGGUGAAACUAUGCCUGAAUAGGGGUGAAAGCCCAGAGGAAACUUCUGGUGGAGGCUCGUAGCGAUUCUUGACGUGCAAAUCGAUCGUCAAAUUUGGUAUAGGGGCGAAAGAC